rnacentral:rRNA from 1 species
CAAGUCGAGGGGUAUAGUAGCAAUACUAGAGACCGGCGCACGGGUGCGUAACGCGUAUGCAAUCUACCUUUCACAGAGGGAUAGCCCAGAGAAAUUUGGAUUAAUACCUCAUAGUAUAAUUGAAUGGCAUCAUUUAAUUAUUAAAGUCACAACGGUGAAAGAUGAGCAUGCGUCCCAUUAGCUAGUUGGUAUGGUAACGGCAUACCAAGGCGACGAUGGGUAGGGGUCCUGAGAGGGAGAUCCCCCACACUGGUACUGAGACACGGACCAGACUCCUACGGGAGGCAGCAGUGAGGAAUAUUGGACAAUGGGCGCAAGCCUGAUCCAGCCAUGCCGCGUGCAGGAUGACGGUCCUAUGGAUUGUAAACUGCUUUUGCACAGGAAGAAACAUCCCGACGUGUCGGGACUUGACGGUACUGUGAGAAUAAGGAUCGGCUAACUCCGUGCCAGCAGCCGCGGUAAUACGGAGGAUCCAAGCGUUAUCCGGAAUCAUUGGGUUUAAAGGGUCCGUAGGCGGGCUAAUAAGUCAGUGGUGAAAUCUCCCGGCUCAACCGGGAAAUGGCCAUUGAUACUGUUAGUCUUGAAUUAUUAGGAAGUAACUAGAAUAUGUAGUGUAGCGGUGAAAUGCUUAGAGAUUACAUGGAAUACCAAUUGCGAAGGCAGGUUACUACUAAUGGAUUGACGCUGAUGGACGAAAGCGUGGGUAGCGAACAGGAUUAGAUACCCUGGUAGUCCACGCCGUAAACGAUGGAUACUAGCUGUUGGGAGCAAUCUCAGUGGCUAAGCGAAAGUGAUAAGUAUCCCACCUGGGGAGUACGUUCGCAAGAAUGAAACUCAAAGGAAUUGACGGGGGCCCGCACAAGCGGUGGAGCAUGUGGUUUAAUUCGAUGAUACGCGAGGAACCUUACCAAGGCUUAAAUGUAGAUUGACCGGUUUGGAAACAGACCCUUCGCAAGACAAUUUAC